AGAAUGAAAUAGUACUCACUAGAUGACGGUGUCUGUCAAUUUUAGCCCCCACUAGAGGAAAUGUCGAACACCGACUUUGACGUGAUAUAGAAUGAAAUCCGCAGCAACCAUACAAGGUCCAAAGAGAUGGCCACAGGACUAACAGAUAGUAGUGGAUGCAAUCAAAGCAAGUAUAAACUUAUGUUACGAAAUUAUUGUAGAAGAGAACUGGAUUCGGCAGACGAAGAUAUGCUUGAAAAACACGAAUCAGACAUUAAGAAAUUGUGGAGCUACAUUGACAGAAAAUACGAAAAAAUACUCAAUGAGACAGUUAUGGAUGAAGAAAUAGAAUAUCUGUGUGAUGAGAGGUCAUCAUUAUCAUAUAAAAACUAAGAAAGCAAAAAAGACUCUGAGAAGAGGAGAGGCAAGGGUCAAUAGCCUAUCUUCUGGCAUAGUGGUGGCGGCAAUCAAAGGCAGAUUUCGCUAUAUUAGGAAAUGAAUACGGCCGACGAUGAUGAGCUUAAAAAGUAUGAAUCAAAAAUUAGGAUUUUCUGGUAUCAGGAAAUAGCACGCAAAUAUCGCAGAGGAUUUGUUAAUAAGGAUAAUGACGAUCUGUCUGUUGAUAUCCGUGAUAUCAUACGAAGACUAAGAAUUAAAAAAACAUAUUGACACAUAAAAAGGAGGAGAAGUAUAUACAGACGACAACACGGGGUUUAAGAAAAUGGGGAUGGGAAAAUCCAGCAAAAGAAGGAGGAUGAAAAAGACGUGAGAAAAUACCUUACAAAAAUACAUGUUGAAGACAAUGCGACAAUGGAAACUGACAAAAAGUUGAUAAGAUCAACUAAAUGCGACCACAAUCCACGCAGGGUGACAGAAAUAGAAGCCGUUCCCUCGACGUUUGGGUCUAAGCAACCGGAACGGACCCCCGAUAUUUAUCCGGCCAAAGACUGUCAACUCGGUACCAUUCCUCGAAAUUACUACAGGAAUAUUUUCUGCGCUACGACAACAACAACAGAAAUAGAAGAAGAGGAUAAUGUUGAAACAUAUGAAGCAUAUUUUUUUAUGAGUAAAACUAACGACAAAUUAUUUUCCUCUUAAAUUUAUAUUUUACCGCUUGUAAUCAUAAUUAGCGCUUGCGCAGUACUAGAAUAUGAAGAAUGAUUUUCACGAUAAACUAACCAAUUAAAUUUUGUCCUAAAUACUGUAACGGAUUACUCGAUAAAUCGUCUACCUGUAACUCAUUCUUGAGUUCGAUCACUGGAUUGUUAAAUAAAACUCCCCAAUUUAAUGGCUACACAUUUAUCUUUAUUUCGAAUUCCAACAACUUAACACUUAUUGCUCGAUAUUCGAGCUUACAACUUCUUGCUUAUGUCUCAAUUGUUCUUAUCACGACAACACUCUAACUAGAACUGUGUUUGCUGCACAAUCCGGCAGCCCUUAUAUAGUAAAUCUGUAACAAAACAUUGCUUCUAGAACAUUCUGGCAACUACGAAUUCGCUAACUAGUUGCUUCUGGCAGUUUAUCGUUGAUUCGAUUUUGUUCUAUCAUCCGUGUUCGUCACAAUACGUUCAUAUUCGGUAUAGUUAUAUAUAAAAUCACCUUUAGUCGUUGCAACAGUAUUGAAAUUUCAGAUUCACCUAGUGAUUCUGAAUGCAGUUAAAAUAGGUCGAACAGGAAUAAAAAAUUAAAAAGUUUGAAAAAGAAAAAACCUGCGAUUCCAAAAUUCUGUAAUGCUUGGCUGCAAAAUCCAGAGUUUAAGGAAUGGUUGAAGAUGUCAGUUUAUAAUGACAAAAACAAAGCAUUUUGUAAAGUAUUUAUGAGUGAAAUAAUUUGCUAUAAUAAGGGUAGUCUCAAACGACAUGCAAAGUCAAGAAGACAUAAAUCAAAUAUCUUUGAAACCUGUAAAAAAUCAUGCAAUUGAUACUCUAUUUGAAGAAACUCCGUUAAAUAGGCAAGUAAAAAGAGCGGAAUUAAUACUUUCUGCGGUAGUAGCAACGAAAUGCCUAUCAUUUUCCGUUAUUUUUGUACUUGGACUUAUUAUAACAAAGAUUUUUCUUGAUUCGAAGAAUGCAAAAAAAGAGUAUCAAUAUUGUAUUCUUUACAAAAGAAAGUCUUGUCACAAAAAAUAUACCUUUUUACUAUUUAGUUGGGUUCUCUUCUGACACUACCAAUGUUAUGGCUGGAGGACACAAAUCGAAAAUUGCAUUAUUCAAGAAAGAUAAUGACGACCUAGCAUUUAUCAAAUGUUCAUGUCACGGCAUACAUAUUGUUAAUUCACAUGAAUGUAGCAAACUGUCUAAUUCUGCUGAAGAACUACUUCGUAAUUUAGCGUCAUAUUUUCAUCAGUUGGUAGAGGAUUAAGCAGUUGCAAGAAUUCCAGGAGUAUUUUGAAGUAAGUUUGCACAGAAUCUUGUCACUGAGUAACACACGUCGGUUAUCACUGAAAAAUGGUGUUGACCGAGUUCUAGAGAAUACAUACAAUACCUUUACAGGGUUUUCUCCAAGGCCAGUUACUUUCAGACCCAUCUCCUACAGUACAAACUAUGAUUAAAACCAUGGAUAAUCAGUUCACUUUUAUUACUUUGCAGUCUUUAAGUUAUGCACUAGGUAUUUUUACAGAAUGUAACAAAAUGUUUCAAAAAUAGAAAUUUGUAUUACACAAGGUGAAACCUGAGAUUGAGAAAAUGUUGAAAGAUCUGUGUUCAAACUACAUCGAUAUUGCUUACAUAAGGAACGACGACAUUUUAAACAUGGAUCACAAAAACCCUCGACUGUUUGUCUCAAUAGACAAUAUUUACGUGGGUCUUGAAGCACACGAAUAUAAAGAGAAGGAAACAAUGAAUUUAUGUUUAACAAUCUGAAAAAAGUUGUAUACGUUUUACUACAAUAAUUUUACUAUUUUCAAAUGUAUCGGUUGAGAAAAUUUUUAGUGACCUUAAAAAUGUUACAACAGAUCAUAGAAAUAAUGUAUCAACUGACACUUUGAAGUCUAUUUUGAUUACCAAAAACUUUUUAUCCAAAGAUAAUGAUAUCAUAAUUUUGAGCCUAAUGAUGAAAUGUUAAAUGCUUAAAUUUGGGAUAUAAAAGAUAUUUUGAAAAGUAUGUUAAUGUAUUAUAUGUUACGUUAUGACUUGUAUAAUAAUUGUAAGUGUUAAAUUUAUAAAAGUAUUUUAUAAAAAAAAUUAUGACAAUAUUAUUUAAAAUAAAGCAUUGUAAUUAAUAAAUAAUUCUUUUAAUACUGCAAGGAUGAGAUUAUAAAUAAAUUUUUAUAUUUGCUG